rnacentral:rRNA from 1 species
GACGUAGGGUGCGAGCGUGUCCGGAUUUAUUGGGCGUAAAGAGCUCGUAGGCGGUCUGUCGCGUCGGCUGUGAAAACCCGGGGCUCAACCCCGGGCCUGCAGUCGAUACGGGCAGACUAGAGUGCGGGUAGGGGGAGACUGGAAUUCCUGGUGUAGCGGUGAAAUGCGCAGAUAUCAGGAGGAACACCGGUGGCGAAGGCGGUGGUCUGGGCCGGCACUGACGCUGAGGAGCGAAAGCGUGGGUAGCAAACAGG